rnacentral:rRNA from 1 species
CCUACGGGCGGCAGCAGUGAGGAAUAUUGGUCAAUGGACGAGAGUCUGAACCAGCCAAGUAGCGUGAAGGAUGACUGCCCUAUGGGUUGUAAACUUCUUUUAUAUGGGAAUAAAAUGUUCCACGUGUGGGAUUUUGUAUGUACCAUAUGAAUAAGGAUCGGCUAUCUCCGUGCCAGCAGCCGCGGUAAUACGGAGGAUCCGAGCGUUAUCCGGAUUUAUUGGGUUUAAAGGGAGCGUAGGUGGAUUGUUAAGUCAGUUGUGAAAGUUUGCGGCUCAACCGUAAAAUUGCAGUUGAAACUGGCAGUCUUGAGUACAGUAGAGGUGGGCGGAAUUCGUGGUGUAGCGGUGAAAUGCUUAGAUAUCACGAAGAACUCCGAUUGCGAAGGCAGUUCACUGGACUGCAACUGACACUGAGGCUCGAAAGUGUGGGUAUCAAACAGGAUUAGAUACCCGUGUAGUC